rnacentral:lncRNA from 1 species
CAUUUACUUUGCUCACUUUGGGCCAGGGAGAGGGUGGCUUCAGGUUUCCCGCGGAGGGAGGAAAGAAAGGAAAGAAAGGAAAGAAAGAAAGAAAAGAAGGGCGCUCUCCAAUCAAUAUCCUCUCACCCCACUUCUGAUUUGGCCUAUAGAGGGGGGAGAAGUUAUCGAAAUAGCAUGCGUACAGUAUAAAAAUAUAUAUCGAAUAUACCACAUCAGCGCUUUGUGAAAAAGAAACUCCCUAAAAUAUCUGGAAAGAAAAAGAAGCCACCAAACCACCUUUCCUGGUGCUGAGGAAAAAAAAAAGGAAAAAGGAAAAAAAAAAUACCUAUGGAAAGUCCACAAACAGGACAUGAGGGCGGUCCUCUUCUCAUUGGUUCACAGCAGCUGAUAAUCAGAGGAUUGUUUGGCGCCAAAAUCCAUUUAUGGUUGUAUCCUUUGUCUAUUUUUAAUAUACUGCCCUAAU